rnacentral:lncRNA from 1 species
GGGGAUGAGGAGAUGGACAAUGAGGAGGAUGAUUGAACUAUUUUUAAUUUUAUAUAGACUUGUAUUAAUUUUUGGGAUAAUUUUAAUUUAGACUUUUUAGGAGUAGGAUUAAUAAGUAAAUUUUAGUAUGUUACAAUCUGUUUAAGUUUUCUAUGUAGGAACCCAACAUAUGACUUAGGCAUUUCAUGCUUACUAACAACUUUAACAAGUUUAACAUAGUAUGAAAUGCCUAACCCAACAUAUGCUUUUAUUCAACAACACUAUGAUCAAUCGGG